GUGGGUAGAGAAGGCCGCCGUUGGAACGCGGCCUUCGGCAGUCUUAGCUAAAACGCUGUCAAAGUCAAAGACAGCGCCCUCUGCGGCGGAGGGGAGGACUCCACCCUCAAGUCCACCGCCUUGUUUUUUUCGUUCAGCCUCGUCGCACCGUUUUCUAAACCACUCCUGUCCUUAGAUCAGACUGAGGAGCCUACGGCACUUAAGCCUUUCAAUCCCCAACCCAUUCUAAGCACAUGUCUUGAGCUGGAUGCAAGAGACACUGAGGUGGAUGACAUGCUCCUAGGUACGUUCAGACCAGCCGUGGCACAGGAAUCCAUCCCCAUGGCCAAAGGCAGCAGCGACAGCUACAGCAGGCUGAAACAACAGAGGGGAUGACUUGAGCUCACUGGAAGCAUCAGUUUCUCUUCCAGACAAGACAAAGACAAGCCUGAAAAAGGAUCUUGAGUUCUCCAUUGAAUGAUCUUUACUCUCCUGCUGGUCUCCUCACUGAGGCAGGAGGGGUGUGGUUUCAAGACUCGAGCUCAAACCGGGAUAAAGUCAUUUUUGCCUCAGGACCCACGUCGCAGAAAAGGUGGUCACAAAGCACCAAGCUGAUCUCCCCACACAGGAUCUUUUAAUUGUGACAUGUGAGCUCUUAGUUGUGGCAUGCAUGCAGGAUCUAGUUCCCCAACCAGGGGUCGAACCCGGACCUGGGAGCACGGAGUCUUACCCACUGGACCACCAGGGAAGUGCCUAUAUGACAUUUCUAAAUGUUUGGCCACCUGUAGGCCUUUGUAAAACACGUUACCUCUCCCACUGUUGUCUACUUGUGAAAAAUUUUACAUGGAAAUAUCUUAUGAAGAGGUCCUGUUAUAGGAUAUAAUGUACAGCUUUUGUUUUUUCUGCUCAGCAUUCAUUCCUUAAAGUAUUCCUCUGAUCUUCUUCAUUCUGGUGGCUUGCUAACUGUGGGAUCCCACCCCCUACCAGAGGGAUGGGCACAUCUCACUAAGAAGCCAAGCAAACUCCUACAAUGGAACUUCACUGUUGAAAUGAGGCACACAGGUACCACAGGGGGUUGGACCUGAUCAUCUGCUGGCAAUUGCCUAAAAAGGUAGCACACAAGCUCCUAUGACUAAGAUCUGGACUUUUCUGGUUCAAGGCCUUCUCAAGGCUGUACUUCCUCUUUCUAAAUUAUGAGCCAGCCAAUAAACUACUAAUAAAGUCUUUGUUUAUUUAGCCAAA